rnacentral:lncRNA from 1 species
AUGUUCCCUUGCUGCUGCCCUUCAAGGCGAGGCUCUCGCAGAGCCAAAGCCCAGAAUGAAGGUCUCUUCCAGCGUGUAACACGCUGGCUGAGCUCUCACUAUGGACGCCUGUGGCCACGGGGGAGGAGGCAGCCACAGGGCUCCACGCUGGAGAUCAGCAAUGAUUCCCAUGAGGAACUCAUCUUCUCAGGCAACGGACAGUUUGGAGGUGUGUCCACACUGCACCUGGCUGAGGUCUGCCCCCUGCGGCACCGGGGCAAAGCUGCAGGAGUCCCUGGUCCUGGCCUCCCCAGGAAGAACCAUUGCUUACCUGUCCAAUCUGCUGUGCUCAUAUGACGACUUCAGUACUGUUCCGUAUUUAUUUCCUGGACCAGAUAUUCCAUAGGUGAGUGUCUGUGCCCUCCAGGCACACGGGGCCUCUGCCGCCCCCUAGCCGUGGCUCUCUGUGCCUGUGUGCUCCUCUGAGAAGUGGGGUGGUGUGGGCGUGAGCCUCAGGGGUUGACAGGGACCAUGUGACUGCAGACACAGCAGGGGCCUGGUGCCUGCUCUGUGGCCAGGGCUGCUGGUGCUGCACUCAUCCCUCUUCUUCUGGUCUCUGCACCCUCGGGACUCAAUAGCCCACAGCCCUCGAGGUUUGGAAAACCCCACAGAGAGCAGCCCUGCCUUCCCAUCUGUAAAGGAGGCCCCUCAGCCCCAGUCCCUGAUUCAGACAGAGCAGGGCCCGGGCACUGGGUGUGGGGCCCAGGCCCCUCAGCUCUCUGGCAAGGGUCCGUGUGUGGUUCAUCCCACAGCACGUGAAUGUUAAACACUGGGCAGUCACUUUGCAGACACGCGUCACAGCUCAGCGAGCAAAGCAGACAGCAUUCCCGGGGCCUCUUGACCUGGGAGGACCCAGACUCUCCCAGCUGAAGGCCUGCCUGGGUCCUGUGC